UUGAUUGUAACAAAAUUAAGUCUAUGACAUAUAAACACAUCUACCUAUGGGUUACUGCAGUGUUCCAGCUUUAUGUGAUUGGGACAUGUGAAGAGGGCUCAAGAGGAGUGACAGAGGUGCCUGGAGCAUUGACUCUGGCAGUUCAGUGAACGUACGUUAAAAACAGUAGUGGAGGAGGAUCAAACUGGCUCAUACUUGAUCAGAUCAAGGAGAUACUGGAGCUUGCAUUGUAGAUUGUUACAUUUAUGGAAUUCAGAAUAAGGAUAAAAAUUUAGGUAAAAUGAUAAAAAAGUCAGGAAGGGGAAUAAGCAAAGACCUGCUUGUGAGCCUUUACCUUGAAGACAUGGCCAUGCAUAUCAGAGGGGUGAAAGGAAUCCCUUGGAGAAGACAGGAUGAUAUAGUUCCUCCUUAUUUCCUCCUCUAU